ensembl:lncRNA
CUGCAUGCUAAUCAUUAGUGGCUGCAGGUCAGCCGUCCGGGGUCACACCAAAAAAGGCAGAAACUCUGUUUUGGCCAUGCAUCUUCUCAAAAGCGUCCAGAGCAUAUUGGAGCUGCAUCUGCUCCUGCAGGAACAGUAGAUUUCCAGACGUUGUGGAGAAAGUUAAGGUUUGCUGAAAAAGAAAGUGAGUUCUGCAACCAGAAUGACAAACUACACCAGCGGCUGAAAAGGCACAUCCUGCACACGUGCAGGCAGAGCUCCUCUGGAGAAGGCAGAGGCUGUGGGUUUGAGGGGAAACGGGUGAGCAGGCGGCAGUUAGAGAAGGGGUGUGGAAAAUGUGCAGGGAGGGGGGCGACUGAAGAAGUCCAGCCAUAUAAAAAGGGAGACAGAACACAGGCCGUGCUUUAUUCUCCCCGUCUGUCCUGCUCGCUCAGACCUCACAGGAAACCUCCAACUCCCCCGGCUCUCCAGCUCGCCUCCACUUCCCACACUUUUUUGAACUUUCUCAGGCGGUCCCGCCAGCUGUGCUUCAUCUGGGAGGAUGGCUACGUCCAUGCUGGGAAUGAAUGGGCUCUGCAGAAUAGCUGGAGCUCUGCUGCUCUUCGCUCUACUGAGUGAAGUGAUGUGUCAAGACAAUACCAACUCCACUAAUCAAGGUGCCAACUCCACCCAAGAUGGAGACACCCCCCAGUCUGGUGGAGCCACAGCAUCACCAUCGGCUUUACCUAUGAAUGAAUCACAGCUGAUUAACAAAACGGUGCCAGCGCUCAGUGAAGGGAUUCCCAUUGAUGGCCCUGUGGAUAAAGGCUCUGCAGAGGUUUUAGCUGGUGCAGAGACAAUAGACUUGCUGCCUCUUAAAGAAGUUGUGGUAAGUGUUGGAAUUUCCCAUCAUCGAUGGGAUCCCAUGUCCCGCUGUAGACAACAGCUUUACCAAGUGAAGAGACUAAAUUUGUUGGGUUUUAACCAAGAAUGAUUCUUUCCGCAGCCUGACGUGAAGUGCGUUGGAAAGGAGGACCUGCACACAAGCACUGUGAAGGCUGAAAUCCAAACGAAAGACUGUGUGAGUUCAAACUUCUCAGACCUUUACAACAUUCAAGCUGUUGGCUCUACACAAUCUCUUUUCAGGGGUUUUCUUGACUGAUACACAUGAAACAAUGACUAAAAAUAAAAAAAAAAUAAACUUAAGCUGUUAGAGCAGGGUAGGGCAGUGGUGUAGUGGUCUGCACUCUCACCUUACUGUGAGAAGGAACUGGUUUGACUCCCAUGGCUGGGUCUUUUCCCCAGGCACAGUCCAAAAAAUGCUUCAUAGGUUACUUGGUAUCCCUAAAUUGUCUCUAGGUGUGUAACAGAAGCUCGGAUAGGCUCCAGCAACGCUGAGACCCCCUGAGAGGGUUGAUCCAGGUUUGGAAGAUGGAUAUUACAGUUGGACAAUAGUUACUAUAGCUACAGAAAUAUAUAGGAUGAACUCUCUGACCUAUAGCCACCCUCCUUCAUUUUUUUUACAUUUGUUAACACAAGCAAUUUCUAAGUACUCUCAUGUGUAAAGGAUAUGACUCAAACUUCAUGUAGCUGCAGCUUUCAGUCUAGGAACUACAGCAAUAGUAUCAUGUAAUGUGGCGUGUGACGGUUCACAAAUAAAAAAGGAGUGCAGCUUCAUGUGAAGAGCUCUGCAGCUUGAAUUCUGCCUCCUGCUUCUUUUUUUUUCUCCAGCUGUGGGUCCACUCCCAGCUAAGAGAGGAUUUGGGGUUUGGGGGAUUUGGAGAGCGUCUUCUGGGGCUGCUAGAAGACGUCUGGAUCCCAUUACUGAAAAAUGACGUGCAUGCAGUUGUGCAAGGAAGUGAUAUCAUAAUUUUGGGAUGAGACUAGAAAUAAAAAGAAAGAAAAAACAGGUGUGGUCAGUGAGGUUCUGGAGCUGUGCAUCAUCCUAGUUUCGUUAAAGUAUUUUUUUGCUCCUUCACCCUGUGUUUCGCUACUUUUACUAAGACUAACAUUAGAAAUAAAAUGUUAAUGUAUUCUGUUUCUCUACAUGUACUCUUAUAGGAGGCAACAAAGAAUAUUAUUGAGGAAAACCCUGCAGGCUGGUGCCAUCAGGAAAGCUGUCAGCUAAAAAUUUUCCAAGACGGGAAAACCAUCUUUGUGUCCAGCAAUGAUAGUAAGUAUCAGUCAGAGGCUGUAUAAAAUCUAUUACUUGAAAUUGAAUGUUUUUUUCCUGACAAGAAAACCUGAUUUUUUACUUUAUUUUAUCUGCAGCUAAGCCAGGUACAUUAGUGAAUGCACUCCAGAGUGAAAAACUGAAGAAUAAGGUAAGACAUUCCAACAGAAUUAAGGAUUUUCACAUAACUGUACAAAUACACUGGAGACAUUGUGAAAAAUUCAGUGGAUUGGUUUCUGUUUCACCUCACAGAUUUUUGGUUAAGGGGUCAAUUAUGUGUGGGUGAUCUGCACACCCCCUGUUGUGUUUUCCAUAUAAUGGUCUCACUGUGUGUAAUUUGAUUUACUUAUUAGGACCAAAAACUUCUCAAAGAAAAACCUUUUAAAUGUUGCAUUAAUUUCAACACUCUGUGGGUAUAAAAAGCUGAUUUAUCGAGUAAGUUCAUCAUUCCAAUAGUCAUGGACACACAACGUCACUUAACGGACGAGCAGCGUCACCUGGCCACACAGCGCCUUCA